GACGAACGCUGGCGGCGUGCUUAACACAUGCAAGUCGAACGGUGAAGCGCCUUCCUUUUUGGUGGGUGUGGAUGAGUGGCGCACUGGUGAGUAACACGUGAGUAACCUGCCCCCUUCUGCUGGAUAACCGCAUGAAAGUGUGGCUAAUACGGGAUAUUCUGGGUCUGUCGCAUGAUGGGUCUGGGAAAGAUAUUGUUUCGGUGGGGGAUGGGCUCGCGGCCUAUCAGCUUGUUGGUGGGGUGAUGGCCUACCAAGGCGGUGACGGGUAGCCGGCCUGAGAGGGUCGACCACCCUACUACGACUGCGCCGCCGAGACUACUACUAGAGGAAGCAGCAGUGAGGAAUAUUGCACAAUGGGAGCCCGGCUGAUGCAGCGCCGCCGCGGGAAGGAUGGACGCCUUAGCGUUAUGAACCUCUUUCGCGAGUGAAGAAGGCCUGCCUCGUUUGUGGGUGGGUUGACGGUAGCUGAAUAAGAAGCGCCGGCUAACUACGUG
rnacentral:rRNA from 1 species